AAAGGCUUAGUGGCGGACGGGUGAGUAACGCGUGGGUAACCUGGCCCAUACAGGGGGAUAACACUUAGAAAUAGGUGCUAAUACCGCAUAACAACAGAAAGCGCAUGCUUUUGUUGAAAACCAAGGUGGUAUGGGAUGGACCCGCGUCUGAUUAGCUGGUUGGCAGGGUAAAGGCCCACCAAGGCGACGAUCAGUAGCCGGCCUGAGAGGGUGGACGGCCACAUUGGGACUGAGACACGGCCCAAACUCCUACGGGAGGCAGCAG
rnacentral:rRNA from 1 species